CCAGAGAUAAUCGGCAAACAUGCAAAGGACAGAUAAGACCAAUAACAAAGAGAACCACAUCAUUUUACGAAGAAAUAAAUCGACGAGCAUGAACCCACAGGAGCUUGACCAACCCUUUUUUAAUGAUUUGGUGUUCAGAUUAAGAAUUUAAUAA